rnacentral:rRNA from 1 species
UACGGGGGGGGCAAGCGUUGUUCGGAAUUACUGGGCGUAAAGGGCUCGUAGGCGGCCAACUAAGUCGGAUGUGAAAUCCCCAGGCUUAACCUGGGAACUGCAUCCGAUACUGGAUGGCUUGAAUCCGGGAGAGGGAUGCAGAAUUCCAGGUGUAGCGGUGAAAUGCGUAGAUAUCUGGAGGAAUACCGGUGGCGAAGGCAGCCCCCUGGGUCAAGAUUGACGCUCAUGCACGAAAGCGUGGGGAGCAAACAGG